AAGGUAGCAUAAUAAUUUGCCUCUUUAUUGGGGGCUGGAAUGAAUGGUUAAACCAGGGCCCAUCUGUCUCAGGUGUAUAAUCUUAAUUUAGAUUUUAAGUGAAAAUGCUUAAAUAUGUCAGAGGGACGAGAAGACCCUAUAGAUCUUUAGUUAUUUCCACUAAUAAAUGGAGGAGUUUAACUUUCCCUGGGAAGGGGCUCUCAAACAACUUGUAAUAUAACGGAUUAUCUUCCUAAUUUGAGGAUCCAGUUACUA
rnacentral:rRNA from 1 species